UACGAAGGGGGCUAGCGUUGUUCGGAAUUACUGGGCGUAAAGCGCGCGCAGGCGGCCUUUCUAGUCAGGGGUGAAAGCCCGGAGCUCAACUCCGGAAUUGCCUUUGAAACUGUCAGGCUCGAGUACGGGAGAGGUGAGUGGAAUUCCCAGUGUAGAGGUGAAAUUCGUAGAUAUUAGGAAGAACACCGGUGGCGAAGGCGGCUCACUGGCCCGUUUCUGACGCUCAGGCGCGACAGCGUGGGGAUCAAACAGG
rnacentral:rRNA from 1 species